rnacentral:rRNA from 1 species
UGAGGAAUAUUGGUCAAUGGACGCAAGUCUGAACCAGCCAUGCCGCGUGCAGGAUGAAGGCCUUCUGGGUUGUAAACUGCUUUUAUCAGGGAAGAAACCACAGAUUUCUAUUUGUGCCGACGGUACCUGAGGAAUAAGCACCGGCUAACUCCGUGCCAGCAGCCGCGGUAAUACGGAGGGUGCAAGCGUUAUCCGGAUUCACUGGGUUUAAAGGGUGUGUAGGCGGGCUUGUAAGUCCGAGGUGAAAUCUCCGAGCUCAACUUGGAAACUGCCUUGGAUACUAUAGGUCUUGAAUAUCGUUGAGGUAGGCGGAAUAUGUCAUGUAGCGGUGAAAUGCUUAGAUAUGACAUAGAACACCGAUUGCGAAGGCAGCUUGCUAAACGAUUAUUGACGCUGAGGCACGAAAGCGUGGGGAUCAAACA